rnacentral:rRNA from 1 species
CACGUAGGCGGAGACUUAAGUCAGGUGUGAAAGACCGGGGCUCAACCCCCGGGGUGGCACUUGAAACUGGGUCCCUUGAGGGCAGGAGAGGGCAGUAGAAUUCCUGGUGUAGCGGUGAAAUGCGUAGAAAUCAGGAGGAAUACCAGUGGCGAAGGCGACUGCCUGGACUGACCCUGACGCUGAGGUGCGAAAGCGUGGGUAGCAAACA